CUUGCUUACUAUCUAAAAUCAUUCCUCUCUUAGAAGUAGCUUCUGGUGCAACGUAAGGUCUGUUAUAGUGGCAGAAUCGUCUCAAAUACAGGUAGGAGACAAACAACACAAAACAAAACACAGAGCUGGCUUUCAAUACAGUUACCAGAGAGGACAGAGAGCCGGUUGGUGUUUUCCGUCUGUGGAACUACCAUUUUAUAACAGUUACUCUCGCUGCUGCUGCUGACGCUGUUGUGGCUGUUGUUGCUGUCGUUGCUGCUAGUAUUGCUGCUGUCUCUGCCGUCUCCACGUCUCUCCCUGUAGGACUCCACCUUACUUCGAACUUAGUGUCUUCAACCUUAUCAUCAUAAAAAAAAAAAAAACUUUUAUUUCUUUAUCACCGUUCUUUACUAACACUGCUUCACACAUUCACCCACCCUACCCUAUCUUCCAAAAGGGAGUAAAAAGUUCUAUUAGCAGUUGGCUGACGAUUUCUUCUGCUUAAGCAUUCUCUGCUACCACCACCGCCGCCAGCACCCUCAAUCGACAGCAAUACCAGCACUUGCACUACACCCUGCCUUCAGCCACCACCGCCACUACCGCCACCAUCGCUUGCAGUACACUCUACCCUCACCACCGCCAUCCUUAUCGGCACUACCAAACACCCACAACUACCAACACCGCAGUCAGCACUAACACGCCGUUACCCUCCAACACCACCCCACUCUACAGUGCUGAACCGAGGUUUCUGUUACCUGUAGAGAAGCAAAAAGCCCAGAGUAGGUAGCAUAGCAGAUAGUGAGAAAGCACAGCAGCCACAGAAAAUCCAUUCCUGCUACCCAACAUCAAGAUGGAAUGACGUUACUUUGCGUGGAAGGUAGUCAACACUGCCACCCCCUAGAAUAUUUCUUCUUCUUCUUGAACAAGAUCUCUUUCAAGCCGCCGACGCCAUACUCUUACCACCAUUAGCCGGCCUCAGCUGAUAAAUUUUUUUUUAAUAUCAAUUUUUUCGCGAUCCCCACCCCAAAAAUCUAGUAACAAAAGUAAAGAAAAACAACUCAAAAACAGAAAUAACAAAUACCAAAAAACGGAAAAAAAGGCGACUGUGAACAACAAAAUAACCCCCUAAAUAUAUAUAUAGCACACUUUGUUAUUCGAUUAACAAAGUUUCUCCAAUUUGUUCCAUUUGGGGGGGUGCAUUGAAAAAAAAAAUAACAAGACAGAAGAAACUUCCUAGAAAAUUUUAAUAUGUAAUUAAUUAGCAAAUAAUUAAUCAAUAAAUUUCUUGCAAUUUAGCAUGACUAAUUAGUUGCAUUUACAAUAAUAUUAACAAUAAAUAUUUGCAAAGGAAACAGGCGAAUUGAGUUUAGAUUAAAACCAUAUUUUGUUCCCCAGGAAGCAAUUAUAGUUUUGAUAACUUGACAGCGCCGAGAGGAAAAGAGGGAUUUAUCGGAACAGUUCAAUCUAUUCGAAGAUAGAGAAUCCAAGUACUCUUUGGCUACUAGAUUUUUGGAACUUGACAGGAUCAUGAUCAGUACUGGGAUUUUAACCGUCACCCUUGACGGCGGAGCACCAUGGGGCUUCAGGCUACAAGGAGGUGGUCCCAACCCAUUGCAAGUUCUCAAGGUACGGAAGAAGAGCAAGGCACACAAUCAUCUGAGAGAGGCUGAUACACUUCUGAAAGUAAAUGGAGUACAAGUUCGCGGUAAAAGCCAUGAGUCGGUUAUGGACACGUUGGAAUCCAUUGUUGGUCAACCACUGGUUUUGGAGAUUUACAGGGGUGAUCCAUUGCAAAAGCUACCCAGGGGUUCAGAUGCACCAGACACUACUGCUGACGUGGCAAACCCUCCAUCUGUUCAGACGUCAUACAAAUCGGUUACUACUUCGUUUAAGAUGGCAGAGCCAACACAGCAGAAUAAAAAAACUGAGCGCUCAAUUAUGACGAAGAAGACAACGCAUCAAAACAUCAUUAAAACCUCUCAACAAAAGCACACCAACUUUAUGAUGCCCGGAAGACCAAACCAACAACAGGAACCGCAAGCAUUUAACCAAAUCCACCAAAAUUUUUAUGGGGGGUCACAGGGGACCCAACAACCUAUCGAUAAUCGAUCCGUCACCCCGCAAGCAGUUCAUCCCGAUCAAAAUUUAAUUCAACAGCAGAGAAUCACUCAUCAGAGUAAUGUCACGCAAUUUACUCAGGAUCAGCAUAAUCAUGUAACAACCACCGAAACAAAAGUUCACCAUACCUAUAUGGGUCCCCUAGAGCCACAUCAACCAUUGGCUGGUACAAAGCCAAAGGUCGCUAGUCACCUACCUUUGCGACCACCGCCACCUUUAAUUGCUGCCAAACCGCAGCCGUUUAAAUCACCAUCUGUGUCGCCCAUGCCACCGAGUUCUCCAGUUUCUUUUCCCGUAGAAGACAAAGAGAACGUUUCUCCUGCUGAUUCUAGCUCCAAUAUAAACAUACCCAAAUUUAAUGUGGUUAACCUAAAAAACGUGGUUAAUAGGCCAUGGGGUGAGGUGCAUUUAGAUGAAUUACAUAUUCCUUUGCCUAAUUAUCAAUCAAAAUUGCAGACUGUUCCUAAAAGAGACACGUCACCAACUGUGGAAAAGAAAACAAUUGUCAUUCCUGAAAUGACGAUCCAGCCAUUAACUGAGGAGGAACUUAUGGCGAAAAAACUGGCCGGGAAACAACCUGAUUAUUAUGAAGAGAUUAAAGAUGACGAAAAUUUGAUUGUACCUAUUUUUGUUGAAGAUCGUCCACACCUACCCGUAUUUGGCCCCCCUGUGGUAUAUGGUCUCAACCCAGCUUUGGUGCCGUUUCAACAGAAGAGUGUUGAAGAAGAGAGUGUAGCGUCUGAAGCAAGUUCUGGCUCCAAGAAGAGCAGUUUCACAAUGGAUAGCAGGAAACAGAAAAUCUAUUCGGAUUCUUCGUUCUACAAUGAUCCGAAGGCAGUGUACCCCACCAUAGAGGAGCAAAUCAACUUGUGUAAGAAGAUCUCGUACUCACUGACGGCUGCAGCCAAUAAAAAAGCGCGGGGGGCAACCAUGUUUGCAAAACGUCAGAAGCGUUCUUCCAAGUGGAUACAUGACGGUUUUUCUACGGUGAGUGACGGAAACAUCGCAGACUUAUCCGAGCUUAGCAGUGAGCUGAGCCCAUUCGACGGUGGAACGAAACCGCUUUUCCAAUUUCGCAUACCCAGAGUUGCACAUCAGGUAUCAGUCAACGAGGAGAAGAUGAGUCUUUCAAGGGAAGAAUUUGAAUCAUUAAGGGUAAGCCAGCCAAAAGUUGACCACCGUGCUGUAAAACCAACCUUAUGCAGCAAUUUAGUUGCUGAUCUACAUAACAACAAGGGCCGUGGUGCUAAGCUCUUCGCUAAACGCCAAGCUCGAUCUGAGAAAUGGGUCGUUGAUGACAAAAGUGUGAAAAGCCCAUCAACUCCUGAGGCAAACGUAAAUAUGAUGAAUGUACAGAAUAAAUUGUCAACCAUGAUUGAGACGCCAAUGCCAAUAAUAAAACAAAAGCCACCGAGACCUGAGCAGUUGCCAAAUGUACCAAAAGCGGUUCCAGUUCCAAUCGUGAAAACAGAUCUGAAGUCUGGCGGUCAUGCUAUAAAUCUCGAUGGACCCAACUUCAAUAGAAAGGCACGAGGAUGGAAUGCUCCUGCACCGAGAAAACGUGGGAAGCUGGAGAAAUUCUUUGGCUUCUUGAGCGCCUGCUCUUGCAGCUCCUCCAGAAAAACGGAUGCUGUGUAGGUUACGCUGCCGUUUGAACCUAUCAAACCAAACUCUUAGCUGUGAAUGCUUCUGAAUUAUCUUCUUCUUCUUCUUCGCCAGUUGUACCGCAGAUUCCACCGCAAGCAGGGAAGAAAGCACCGCCACCACCGGUAGCUCCGAAACCCAGCAGAGGCAAAGGGCAACACACCCGUUCGUCUUCUGACCAAUUAGGUUACUGUUCGGACGUAGAUCA
rnacentral:misc_RNA from 1 species